GAUCAACGCUGGCGGCGUGCAUAACACAUGCAAGUCGAACGAUGAAGAUUAAAAGAUUUCUUCGGAAUGAACUUAAUUGGAUUAGUGGCGGACGGGUGAGUAACGCGUGAGUAACCUGCCUUGUACAAGGGGAUAGCCGUUGGAAACGACGAAUAAUGCCCUAUGACAUCAAAUAAUCGCAUGAUAAUUUGAUCAAAGAUUUAUCGGUAUAAGAUGGACUCGCGUCUGAUUAGCUAGUUGGUAGAGUAAAAGCCUACCAAGGCAACGAUCAGUAGCCGGAUUGAGAGAGUGUACGGCCACAUUGGGACUGAGACACGGCCCAGACUCCUACGGGAGGCAGCAGUGGGGAAUUUUGCACAAUGGGGGAAACCCUGAUGCAGCGACGCCGCGUGAUUUAGAAGGCCUUCGGGUUGUAAAAAUCUUUUGUAUGGGAAGAAAAUGACAGUACCAUACGAAUAAGGACCGGCUAAUUACGUG
rnacentral:rRNA from 1 species